rnacentral:rRNA from 1 species
UACGGAAGGCAGCAGUGGGGAAUAUUGCACAAUGGGCGCAAGCCUGAUGCAGCCAUGCCGCGUGUAUGAAAAGGCCUUCGGUUGUAAAGUACUUUCAGUCGUGAGGAAGGUGUUAAGGUUAAUAACCUUAGCAAUUGACGUUAGCGACAGAAGAAGCACCGGCUAACUCCGUGCCAGCAGCCGCGGUAAUACGGAGGGUGCGAGCGUUAAUCGGAAUUACUGGGCGUAAAGGGCACGCAGGCGGUUAAUUAAGUUGGAUGUGAAAUCCCCGGGCUUAACCUGGGAAUGGCAUUCAAGACUGGUUAGCUAGAGUCUUGUAGAGGGGGUAGGAAUUCCAUGUGUAGCGGUGAAAUGCGUAGAGAUGUGGAGGAAUACCGGUGGCGAAGGCGGCCCCUGGACAAAGACUGACGCUCAUGUGCGAAAGCGUGGGGAGCAAACAGGGAUUAGAUACC